GACAGAGGUCCCGAGCGUUAGGCGGAAUCACUGGGCGUAAAGCGCGUGUAGGCGGUUGCCCAAGUCGGGUGUGAAAGCCUUGAGCUCAACUCAAGAAAUGCACUCGGUACUGGGUGACUAGAGGACCGGAGAGGAUAGUGGAAUUCCCAGUGUAGUGGUGAAAUACGUAGAUAUCGUGAGGAACACCAGAGGCGAAGGCGGCUACCUGGACAAUUGCUGACACUCAGGCACGAAAGCGUGGGGAGCAAAAGGG
rnacentral:rRNA from 1 species